rnacentral:tRNA from 2 species
GGUGUCUUAGCCAAGAGGAAAGGCCUGGAGCUGCAACCUCCAUAUCGUCAGUUCGAUUCUGACAGACACCUCCA